AGAACGAACGCUGGCGGCAGGCCUCAAACAUGCAAGUCUAGGGGGCGUAGCAAUACGUCACCGGCGGACGGGUGCGUAACACGUGGGAAUGUACUUACUGGUUCGGAACAACUCAGGGGAAACUUGAGCUAAUACCGAAUGUGCCCGAAAGGGGAAAGAUUUAUCGCCAGUAAAUCAGCCCGCGUCCGAUUAGCUAGUUGGCGGGGUAAAGGCCCACCAAGGCGACGAUCGGUAGCUGUUCUGAGAGGAAGAUCAGCCACACUGGGACUGAGACACGGCCCAGACUCCUACGGGAGGCAGCAGUUGGGAAUCUUGGACAAUGGGGAAACCCUGAUCCAGCCAUGCCGCGUGAGUGAUGAAGGCCUUCGGGUUGUAAAACUCUUUCGACGGGGACGAUAAUGACGGUACCCGUAGAAGAAGCUCCGGCUAACUUCGUGCCAGCAGCCGC
rnacentral:rRNA from 1 species